AACGAACGCUGGCGGCAGGCUUAACACAUGCAAGUCGAGCGCCCCGCAAGGGGAGCGGCAGACGGGUGAGUAACGCGUGGGAACAUACCCUUUGGUUCGGAAUAACUCAGGGAAACUUGAGCUAAUACCGGAUACGUCCGUAAGGAGGAAGAUUUAUCGCCAAAGGAUUGGCCCGCGUCCGAUUAGCUAGUUGGUGAGGUAACGGCUCACCAAGGCUACGAUCGGUAGCUGGUCUGAGAGGAUGAUCAGCCACAUUGGGACUGAGACACGGCCCAAACUCCUACGGGAGGCAGCAGUGGGGAAUAUUGGACAAUAGGGCGAAAGCCUGAUCCAGCCAUGCCGCGUGUGUGAAGAAGGU
rnacentral:rRNA from 1 species